rnacentral:rRNA from 1 species
GACGAACGCUGGCGGCGUGCUUAACACAUGCAAGUCGAGCGGUAAGGCCCUUUCGGGGGUACACGAGCGGCGAACGGGUGAGUAACACGUGGGUGACCUGCCCUCAGCUCUGGGAUAAGCCUGGGAAACCGGGUCUAAUACCGGAUAUGACUCCAUGACGCAUGUUGUGGGGUGGAAAGCCUUGUGCGGCUGAGGAUGGGCCCGCGGCCUAUCAGCUUGUUGGUGGGGUGAUGGCCUACCAAGGCGACGACGGGUAGCCGGCCUGAGAGGGCGACCGGCCACACUGGGACUGAGACACGCCCCAGACUCCUACGGGAGGCAGCAGUGGGGAAUCUUGCGCAAUGGGCGAAAGCCUGACGCAGCGACGCCGCGUGA